GGGCCCGCACAAGCAGUGGAGCAUGUGGUUUAAUUCGAUGCAACGCGAAGAACCUUACCUGGAUUUGACUUGCAGAGGACGAUGAUCAGAGAUGACAUUUUCCGUAAGGACCUCUGUGCAGGUGCUGCAUGGCUGUCGUCAGCUCGUGCCGUGAGGUGUUGGUUAAGUCCCGCAACGAGCGCAACCCUUAUCGUUAUUUGCCAGCGCGUAAUGGCGGGGACUAUAACGAGACUGCCUGGGUGAACCAGGAGGAAGGUGAGGAUGACGUCAAGUCCGCAUGGCCCUUACGUCCAGGGCUGCACACGUGCUACAAUGGUCGGUACAAUGGGUCGCCACCCAGCGAUGGGGCGCAAA
rnacentral:rRNA from 1 species